rnacentral:rRNA from 1 species
UACCAGCACCCCGAGUGGUCGGGACGAUUAUUGGGCCUAAAGCAUCCGUAGCCGGUUCUACAAGUCUUCCGUUAAAUCCACCUGCUUAACAGAUGGGCUGCGGAAGAUACUAUGGAGCUAGGAGGCGGGAGAGGCAAGCGGUACUCGAUGGGUAGGGGUAAAAUCCGUUGAUCCAUUGAAGACCACCAGUGGCGAAGGCGGCUUGCCAGAACGCGCUCGACGGUGAGGGAUGAAAGCUGGGGGGAGCAAACCGG